AAUGUUUGAUGUUCUAACGUGGACCCGUAAUCCGGGUUGCGGACAGUGUCUGGUGGGUAGUUUGACUGGGGCGGUCUCCUCCUAAAGAGUAACGGAGGAGCACGAAGGUUGGCUAAUCCUGGUCGGACAUCAGGAGGUUAGUGCAAUGGCAUAAGCCAGCUUGACUGCGAGCGUGACGGCGCGAGCAGGUGCGAAAGCAGGUCAUAGUGAUCCGGUGGUUCUGAAUGGAAGGGCCAUCGCUCAACGGAUAAAAGGUACUCCGGGGAUAACAGGCUGAUACCGCCCAAGAGUUCAUAUCGACGGCGGUGUUUGGCACCUCGAUGUCGGCUCAUCACAUCCUGGGGCUGAAGUAGGUCCCAAGGGUAUGGCUGUUCGCCAUUUAAAGUGGUACGCGAGCUGGGUUUAGAACGUCGUGAGACAGUUCGGUCCCUAUCUGCCGUGGGCGCUGGAGAACUGAGGGGGGCUGCUCCUAGUACGAGAGGACCGGAGUGGACGCAUCACUGGUGUUCGGGUUGUCAUGCCAAUGGCACUGCCCGGUAGCUAAAUGCGGAAGAGAUAAGUGCUGAAAGCAUCUAAGCACGAAACUUGCCCCGAGAUGAGUUCUCCCUGACCCUUUAAGGGUCCUGAAGGAACGUUGAAGACGACGACG
rnacentral:rRNA from 1 species